UACAGAGGAGCCAAGCGUUGUCCGGAUUGACUGGGCGUAAAGCGCACGCAGGCGGUCGCGCGCGUGGGGUGUGGAAAUCUGGCCGCUUAACGGCCAGCGCCAUCCCAUACGGCGCGACUGGAGUGAUGCAGAGGUCGGUGGAAUUGCCGGUGUAGUGGUGAAAUGCGCAGAUAUCGGGAGGAACACCCGUAGCGAAGGCGGCACUCUGGGCCGGAACUGACGCUGAGGAGCGAAAGCGUGGGGAGCAAACAGG
rnacentral:rRNA from 1 species